rnacentral:rRNA from 1 species
AUGUACAUACCUACAACAUAGUAUUAAAGCAUUAUAUCCCUUUAGAACUUCAUGGUUAAGCAUGCUGAGGCUAGAGUAGUACUGGAAUGGGUGACCGCCCGAGAAGUCCUAGUAUUUUACAUG